GUAGGGAAUAUUGGGCAAUGGAUGCAAGUCUGACCCAGCCAUCCCGCGUGCCGGAAGAAGGCCCUCAGGGUUGUAAACGGCUUUUGACGGUGAAGAAUCGACAGGAUGCGUCCUGUUUUGACGGUAGCCGUUGAAUAAGCACCGGCUAACUCCGUGCCAGCAGCCGCGGUAAUACGGAGGGUGCGAGCGUUGUCCGGAUUUAUUGGGUUUAAAGUGUGCGUAGGCUGGAAGGUCAGUCAGCGGUGAAAAGCUGUCGCUUAACGAUAGUCUUGCCGCAGAUACUUCCUUUCUUGGAUGAGGAGGAGGCCACUGGAACGGAUGGUGUAGCGGUGAAAUGCAUAGAUAUCAUCCAGAACACCGAUUGCGAAGGCAGGUGGCUGUACCUUAAUCGACGCUGAUGCACGAAAGCAUGGGGAGCAAACAGGAUUAGAUACCCUUGUAGUCC
rnacentral:rRNA from 1 species